rnacentral:rRNA from 1 species
CGGCGGACGGGUGAGUAACGCGUGGGUAACCUGCCUCAUACAGGGGGAUAGCAGUUAGAAAUGGCUGCUAAUACCGCAUAAGACCACAGUACUGCAUGGUACAGUGGUAAAAACUCCGGUGGUAUGAGAUGGACCCGCGUCUGAUUAGGUAGUUGGUGGGGUAACGGCCUACCAAGCCGACGAUCAGUAGCCGACCUGAGAGGGUGACCGGCCACAUUGGGACUGAGACACGGCCCAA